GUUUCAAACUUGAAUCAUCAAGAAACAAAUAAAUCCAGCACGAAACCGACACGAAUCCGAACUAAUUCUUAGCUAAAUUGCUAGCAAAUAUCAACAGAAUCCACACUGAAAAGAAGAAGCCAGAACAAGGUUUCCAACAUUUCGGAUUCAAACCAUAAGAGGCUUUCAAAUUCUCAGCAUCUCAAAGAUAGUUUCAACCCUCACUCAAAAUUCUAACUACAUCAGCAAACAAUUACUCAUGUUUAUUUUCUUUAAAAUUCUAACUUAAACCAAAAGGAAACCUCUGAAGAACUGAACUAGUCAUGAAGACGGUUUGACCAGAAUGUAACAGAACUUAACAGAGGAUCGCAACAGUUCUAAAUGCACAGCCAAAUUAGAAAUCAAUGACAUAUACACAGCCGAGCCAAACCAGACAUACUCGUGCAAAUGGCAAACCAACACAUUACGACCAACAGUCACAUUUCUUAAUCAAACGCCAAAUAUAGGCUACAUGGGAUUAAAAGCGAACCUGAAUCAAUAAACAACCCGUUUAACUUUGUACGAGCUUGGAAUACAAACGAGACCUGGAAGCUAAUGAGUUGAAAUCAGAAGCUUAGACAGCAGCAGACUCACACUUCUCGACGAGUUCCAUUGUUCGUCCGAAAACCAGAAUUGAAAUCAAAGAAAACUCUAUUGCGUCGAAAUGCUAAUAAAAACUUAUCUCCAUUGAAAUUAUGAAACAGACGGGACAGAAAAUAAAACUUGAACAAACUCAAUCCAUCUCCAUUUUUGAAAGGAAUCAAAGAAAGAUAAUGAAAACUUCUUUUUUUUAGACUUUUUGAAACAGAACCAGGAACAAAAACCAAAAGAAACUGGAAUAUCUCAGCCUUUUCUUCCAUAAUCAAAACUAAAAUCCAGAAAAAACUCCAUGAAAACUGAAUGAACUCUCAAACCUUUUUUUUUUCAAUCCUUUCGACUCCGAAAAAAAUCCCCCUCAAGUAAUCUGAUAAGGGCCCUUUUUGAAACGAACCACCUGAUAAAUGUGGGGCUCGGAUUGAACGACAUCAAUCCAAUGCCUCACAUUCAUCCGACGACUCGUCUCUAGGACCUUCUAAUCGCGUGAGAUGGUUCAAAAUCGGGCGAGUGAGAGGAAUGAGAAUCUUUGGUGAUAAAUCCGUUAAAAUGGUGAGAGGAGGGAUGGGGGGAACGCGUGGGUUCGGGAUUCAUGCUCACUAGCCAUGAAUUUGGACGGAACUUGGGCUUGUUCGCGUGUUCUUCGGAGAAGAAGAACAGU
rnacentral:lncRNA from 1 species